rnacentral:lncRNA from 1 species
CUUUUUCUUGGAUCGCCACUGGUUUGUUUCCAUUGAUUCUGUAAGAUAUCUUCUGUAACACAUUGAAAUGUAUAAAUAUUAAAACAUCAUACAGUACUUUGUUAUUUGAGACUGAGGAUAAUCAAAGAACAAGACUUGAGAAUAUAUAUAUAAAUGUACGAUGAAGGAGAGAAGGGGUGUAAUAAGAAAUCUUACAUAAUCUGAAGUAGUUCCCAGGUUGAACAAAGUUUCUGACUAACCUCUGCAACAAAAGAAGCAUUUUAACCAAAAACCAACAAAAGAACAAAAGAAGAAGAAGAGAAAAUAAAGAAGAAGGAGAGAUGAAUGAAAUAAGGUAGAGAUAGAGGGAGAGAGAGGCAUCAAUGACUAUGCGACACUGAUAUUAAUUUUUUACGUUUCAACUCAUUAAUAAAACGUUAAAGUAACAUAGUGUUCUGUAUUUUUUCUAAAUUUAUAAUACUUAUAAAGUUUUUAUGAAGAAACUUGUAUUAAUCUUUUUGCUUUUCAUAGUUCUUUCUUUUACUAUAUAAGCAGACCAUCAUCAUUCAUCAUGGAGUUAUAUAAUUUCUCCCUAUUGAUUAACCAUCAAUUUGUUUUGCUUUUGC